GAUGAACGCUGGCGGCGUGCCUAAUACAUGCAAGUCGAGCGAACAGACGAGGAGCUUGCUCCUCUGACGUUAGCGGCGGACGGGUGAGUAACACGUGGAUAACCUACCUAUAAGACUGGGAUAACUUCGGGAAACCGGAGCUAAUACCGGAUAAUAUAUUGAACCGCAUGGUUCAAUAGUGAAAGACGGUUUUGCUGUCACUUAUAGAUGGAUCCGCGCCGCAUUAGCUAGUUGGUAAGGUAACGGCUUACCAAGGCAACGAUGCGUAGCCGACCUGAGAGGGUGAUCGGCCACACUGAAACUGAGACACGGUCCAGACUCCUACGGGAGGCAGCAGUAGGGAAUCUUCCGCAAGGGGCGAAAGCCUGACGGAGCAACGCCGCGUGAGUGAUGAAGGUCUUCGGAUCGUAAAACUCUGUUAUUAGGGAAGAACAAAUGUGUAAGUAACUAUGCACGUCUUGACGGUACCAAAUCAGAAAGCCACGGCUAACUACG
rnacentral:rRNA from 1 species